rnacentral:snoRNA from 1 species
GUUGAGCAAUCCCGAUGGGGCAUCUCCUGUAGCCAUAUAUUGCUAGAAAUGCCUCAUUAAAAACUGCAGUUCUACUUUACUCCCAGGACUGUUCUUACAUCUGUAAGAAGGAGACACAAGACAGUU